AAAGAAAAACUGGUAUAAAAAGUAACAAUUUCAUGCCUGGGUUUGUACUUUCCCAUGUCACUCCUGUAUGCCAUUCAGAAUUGGUUAUAAACAGUAUAGCUUUCAUCACAAGCAUGAGAGUUAACUACGUUUUUCCUUAAUGGGUUGUUUAUGGAGGGAAUUUCCCAAUUUUGUGUUGGAAUAUGAAUUAAUCAGCAUCAAAGAAUUUAGAUAAUGUUCCACAAACAAAUUAUUAAUCCCUUUACAACAGUUUUACCAUAGUUACUUUCUGCAAGAGACAAACAACUUAAAAUAUAAAUAGACAAGGUCAAGUAUGAUUGUGAUUUGACUACAACAAUAAUGUUACUAUAAUGUAAGCGGUAUUUUAACAGAUAAGAUAAACUGCAAUAUACCUACAUACAUAUGAACAUAUUUGAAAUUUGACAAGGCAUUACAUUACAAAGCAUGAAAGAAUUUCGAAUUGAUUUUCUUGAAAUUUUCAGAGAAUUUACAAGGGUUUGGGUUGAUAACCAAAAGAUCAGUUUUUUCUAUUUGUUAUACUUUUAGAAAGUCGCCAGGACCUGAUGAUGUAUCAUUGGUUGAAUUACAAGCUGUGUCUGAUAGACUGGUUCCCUGGCUUAGGGAGAUAUAUUCUGCUUUUAUCAAAAUGUCAUAUAUACCUGUGGGAUGGAGGGACACGAAGGUCAUUUUCAUUUCGAAAGCAGGAAAACCCUACUACACGAAGGCGAAAGAUUUUCGUCCUAUUAGUCUGUCAUCCCUUAUGUUGAAGACUCUUGAGAGGUUGAUAGAAACAUAUCUUAGGGCAAAGAUCCCUGAAGAUCGCCUGUCACGGCAGCAGCAUGUAUAUGGUAAAGGCAAAUCCACUGAAACAGCCCUUCACGACCUAGUCGACUACAUUGAGGGUUCUCUCGCUGUCAAGGAAUAUACAAUGGUAGUAUUUCUUGACAUUGAGGGUGCUUUCAAUAAUGUAAAACCGACGUCAAUCUACCGUAAGAAAAUUUAUUAAUAACUUACUUACUAAAAGAUGAAUUUGGGCAGGCUUGGGAACACCUCAAGGAGGUGUACUGUCUCCUCUACUAUGGUUAUAGCCAUUAACAAUAUAUUAUUGUCUCUGGAAGAAAAAGGUGUAAAAGUGUUCGUGCAUGCUGAUGACGUCGCAAUUGCAAUUAGGAAAAAGUUUCCCAGCACUCUAAGAUAUAUACUUCAGCAAUCUCUACGUGCAACAGCAAAGUGGGCUACCGAAAGUGGUCUAGGAAUAAAACCGUGCAAGACAGAAGUAGUUCUUUUCAGCAGGAGAUACAAGUUGCCUACAGUGGAACCUGUCUCUACCUAGGUGUUUUGCUGGACAGGAAAUUGAAUUUCAAAUCCAACAUUUUGGAAAGGACAAGAAAUGCAACUCUUGCCCCAUAUAUACCUGCAAGAGAGCCAUUGGCAAAAGUUGGGGGUUUAGACCGCGUGUCAUGCAUUGGGUAUAUACUGAGUUGUCAGACCUAUAAUGCUAUAUGGUGUGGUGGUCUGGUGGAGGGCGCUUCAAGAGUAUACCUGCUGUUCAAUAGUUAAUCGGAUUCAAAGGAUGGCUUGUUUGUGCAUCACAGCCGCACUGAGGACGACACCAUGUGAUGCACAGAUUUUAAUGCUACAUCUUAUGCCUCUGGACAUUGUGGCUACCCAAAUUGCAGCGAACACUGCCGUGAGGUUAAGGGAGUUUUCUCAUUGGUCAUGUGGCGGCUACGGACUCUUGAUACAAUAUUCGAUGUUCCAGGCAGUGUGUAUCAAGCGGAGAUCCUUCCAAUUAAGGAAGUGGUGGAAUGGCUAAGAUAUAAUGCCCUUACGACGAUUGGCAUAAAUAUCUUCUCAGACAGAUAGGCUGCCAUUAAAUCCCUGGAGAACAUAUUUCUGAACACAAAAACCGCCCUCGACUGUCGCAGAUCUCUCAACCAGAUGGCUGAACAGUACAAAAUUCACCUAUUCUGGGUGCGAGAAUCCAGUUUGUACAGCGCAUUCAACACUUAUGCAUCGAUGCUAAACCUGUACAGAUAAUAUGUUGGACGAGGGACAACCUACACAUUAGUUUUUGUGCUUGUUUUAAUAGUAAAUCAAAACAAAAAAAAAAUUAAAAAAUGCGUUUUCAUACUAAGGGGCCUGUGUACUUCGUAUAAGUGCAACGGAAAACUCAACCGUCGCAUAGUGGGAUGGGAAAAAAAUAAGUGGAACGGAUAGAUUUAUCUUCAUGAUAUCUUACAUGGUUAUAGCUGAGGUAUUAUCCAGUUUAAAUGUAAAAUGCCUUAGGAGUCCCAGCGGCCCAUUGGUGGGCCUUCAAAGUUGGUCACCUCGGCCCUACAAAAGCGGAAAGUCCUUAAAAAGUCCUCCAAAAAAAGCCCUAAAUAUGAGGGAUAUCUUUUAUGGUGUCCAAGAAAUUUGACUAACAAAUGUUUUGUUUUUUGAAAUUUUUGCAGAGGUAGGUCUCUUAUUUUUUUGCAUUUCUGAACCGAUUUCAAAUUUUUUAAAUGAAAGCUAAUGAAAUUUACUAUUUUUUUUUGUCGCGAUACAUGCUAAUGUCCGAUUCUUCAGUCAAAAGUUAUGAGAGUUAUAAAUCAAAAAAUGUGAAAAAGUAAAUUUUUGGUAUUUUUUCGUAGAAAAUGUCAUUUCAUUGAUUCGUCUCUAUACAGAAAACUUGGCCCAGCACUAUCAAUUUUGCUUAUUGUACUGUAACGAAGACUUAAUGUAGAUGUGUUUUAAGUGCAACUUUUAUAAAUUGUGUUGACAAAAAAACUGGGAAAACCCUUCGAGUUCUCAAAACGCAAAGCUGAGAUCCUCAACUUUCUAACAUAGUUUCAUUGCCCCAAAUAAUAACUAAUUGCAUGUUCAAAUUUUUUUGAACUUUGAAAAUCGGACCAUAAACGCGCUUUUGACAGCCCGAACAAAAUUUUGUAAGGCCGAGGUGACCAACUUUGAAGGCCCACCAAUGGGCCUCUUGGUCUUCUGGGGCCCUGAAAUAAACUGGAUAACACCUCAGCUAUAACCGUUUAAGAUAUCAUGAAGAUAUCUCUAUCCGUUCCAAAAUGGCAGACUUAAUUCCACAUAUUUUUUACCAUCCCACUGUGCUUCGGAGGGUUAAAACUUACCUACACAAUGACAAAUUUC